UACGUAGGGUGCAAGCGUUAUCCGGAAUCAUUGGGCGUAAAGAGCUCGUAGGCGGUUCAACAAGUCGGCUGUGAAAGUCCGAGGCUCAACCUCGGAAUUGCAGUCGGUACUGUUGUGACUCGAGUCCGGUAGAGGAGAAUGGAAUUCACGGUGUAGCGGUGAAAUGCGCAGAUAUCGGGAGGAACACCAGUAGAGAAGGCGGUUCUCUGGACCGGCACUGACGCUGAAGAGCGAAAGCGUGGGGAGCAAACCGG
rnacentral:misc_RNA from 1 species